rnacentral:lncRNA from 1 species
GGGAGCGCUGUGCCCAAGGCGGACGGCUCAGAGACCCAGAGGCAGCCUAGCCCCACACCAGAGUUCCCCAAACCACCAAAGCGACAAGAAAAAAUCCAAAAGUCAAGAAGGGGUUAACAGAAGCCACCACACAGAGCGCCUGGAGGGUGUGCACGGAAGGAGAGGGCACAUGCUCUUGGCAUGGGGGAGAAAAACAAUAGUUAGUAUCACAAGUGAAAACAAUGAGAACAAAAUGGCAGCACCCACAGCCGCCUGGGUCAGCCUCCUUUGUGGGAAUGAGACAUCUCGGGCCAGAAGACGUCGGGAAAUCAACUCGCAUCUCAAGCAGACAAGUGCAGCUGCCUUGUUAACAAAAUGUAUAGGGGCAGAAAGGCACCCGGGAUGCCUCCCACCCCCACAGUCUAUCUGAGCACAGUGAGGCUGCUGUGUCCUGGCAGCUCCCCAGAAAGCUGAGGGAGAAAGGGG